AUUGAACGCUAGCGGGAUGCCUUACACAUGCAAGUCGAACGGAGUGGCGAACGGGUGAGUAAUGUAUCGGAACGUGCCCAGUAGCGGGGGAUAACUACGCGAAAGCGUAGCUAAUACCGCAUACUAUUGGAGCAGCCGCUAUCGUAUUAGCUAGUUGGUGGGGUAACGGCUCACCAAGGCGACGAUCCGUAGCUGGUUUGAGAGGAGGACCAGCCACACUGGGACGGAGAAACGGCCCAGACUCCUACGGGAGGCAGCGGGGGGGAAUUUUGGACAUGGGGGGAAACCCUGAUCCAGCCAGCCCGGGUGUGGGAUGAAGGCCUUCGGGUUGUAAGGUACUUUUGGAAGGAAAGCGGUACCUGCAGAGUAAGCACCGGCUAACUACGUGCCAGCCGCCGCGGUAAUAC
rnacentral:rRNA from 1 species